CGGGGGGAGCAAGCGUUGUUCGGAUUUACUGGGCGUAAAGGGCGCGUAGGCGGCGCUACAAGUCACUUGUGAAAUCUCCGGGCUUAACCCGGAGCGGCCAAGUGAUACUGUCGUGCUAGAGUGCGGAAGGGGCUACUGGAAUUCUCGGUGUAGCGGUGAAAUGCGUAGAUAUCGAGAGGAACACCUGCGGCGAGGGCGGGUAGCUGGGCCGACACUGACGCUGAGGCGCGAAAGCCAGGGGAGCGAACGGGAUUAGAUACCCCGGUAGUCCUGGCCUUAAACGAUGGAUGCUUGGUGUCCGGGGUUACAUAGUCCCCGGGUGCCGGCGCUAACGCAUUAAGCAUCCCGCCUGGGGAGUACGGUCGCAAGACUG
rnacentral:rRNA from 1 species